UUAUCUCUGUAGAGUCUGCAUAUCAAUAAGCGGAGGAAAAGAAACUAACUAGGAUUCCCUCAGUAACGGCGAGUGAAGCGGGAAGAGCUCAAAUUUGAAAUCUUCAAGGUUUUACCUUGACGAAUUGUAGUUUAAAGAAGUGUUUUCUGUUGGAAUUUUGGUAAAAGUUCUUUGGAAUAGGACAUCAUAGAGGGUGAGAAUCCCGUAUUUGACCAUUACUUCCAGCGUUGUGAUACACUUUCAAAGAGUCGGAUUGUUUGGGAAUGCAGUCCAAAAUGGGUGGUAAAUUUCAUCUAAAGCUAAAUAUUGGCGAGAGACCGAUAGCGAACAAGUACUGUGAGGGAAAGAUGAAAAGAACUUUGAAAAGAGAGUUAAACAGUACGUGAAAUUGUCAAAAGGGAAGCGUUUGACACCAGUGUUGUUUUCUCGAAAAUCAAUCAAAAAUGGUGGGAUGUUGUGUUGUAUUGACUUUAUCAGCUUUCUGCACUUUUUUCUUGUCUUUUUUAAUGCACUUUUCGUUUAACAAGUCAACAUCAAUUUCUUUUGUUGUAAAAGGGUCAUUGGAAGGUGGCUUUCUUUUCGGAGAAAGUGUUUAUAGCCUUUGACUUCUGCAAUCGGAGAGAUUGAGGUCUGCAGCGUAGAUCCUUCGGGGUUAGAUACAUUUGUGCUAAGUUAUAGCCUUUCAUAGACAACUUGUUGACUAUGAUCAGUCAUGUAGCCUGACUCGCUUAUGCUAUUUUACCUACGCUUAGGAUGUUGAUCUCUCACAGUCGAGC
rnacentral:rRNA from 1 species